rnacentral:rRNA from 1 species
CUACGGGAUGCUGCAGUGAGGAAUAUUGCACAAUGGGGGGAACCCUGAUGCAGCAACGCCGCGUGGAGGAUGACGCAUUUCGGUGUGUAAACUCCUUUUAUAUGUCAAGAAAAUGACGGUAGCAUAUGAAUAAGCACCGGCUAACUCCGUGCCCGCAGCCGCGGUAAUACGGAGGGUGCAAGCGUUACUCGGAAUCACUGGGCGUAAAGGACGCGUAGGCGGGUUGGAAAGUCAGGUGUGAAAUCCUACAGCUUAACUGUAGAACUGCACUUGAAACUUCUAAUCUAGAGUAUGGGAGGGGAGAUGGAAUUAGUGGUGUAGGGGUAAAAUCCGUAGAUAUCACUAGGAAUACCUAAAGCGAAGGCGAUCUCCUGGAACAUUAUUGACGCUAAGGCGUGAAAGCGUGGGGAGCAAACAGGAUUAGAUACCCGGGUAGUC